GACGAACGCUGGCGGCGUGCCUAACACAUGCAAGUCGAGCGGAGAUAAUAGCAAUAUUAUCUUAGCGGCGGACGGGUGAGUAACGCGUGGGUAACCUGCCUUAUACAGGGGGAUAACACAGGGAAACUUGUGCUAAUACCGCAUAAUACCAUUGGGUGGCAUCAUCUGAUGGUCAAAGGAGUAAUCCGGUAUAAGAUGGACCCGCGUCCGAUUAGCUAGUUGGAGGUGUAACGGACCACCAAGGCGACGAUCGGUAGCCGAACUGAGAGGUUGAUCGGCCACAUUGGGACUGAGACACGGCCCAGACUCCUACGGGAGGCAGCAGUGGGGAAUAUUGCGCAAUGGGGGAAACCCUGACGCAGCAACGCCGCGUGAAGGAUGAAGGUUUUCGGAUUGUAAACUUCUUAGUCGGGGACGAACAAAUGACGGUACCCGAAGAAUAAGCCACGGCUAACUACGUGCCAGCCGCCGCCGUAAGAC
rnacentral:rRNA from 1 species